UACGGAGGGUGCAAGCGUUAUCCGGAUUCACUGGGUUUAAAGGGUGCGUAGGCGGGCAGGUAAGUCAGUGGUGAAAUCCUAGAGCUCAACUCUAGAACUGCCAUUGAUACUAUCUGUCUUGAAUAUUGUGGAGGUAAGCGGAAUAUGUCAUGUAGUGGUGAAAUGCUUAGAUAUGACAUAGAACACCAAUUGCGAAGGCAGCUUGCUACGGAUUGAUUGACACUGAGGCUCGAAAGCGUGGGGAUCAAACAGGAUUAGAAACCCCGGUAGU
rnacentral:rRNA from 1 species